AGAAUCAACGCUGGCGGCGUGCCUAACACAUGCAAGUCGCACGAGAAAGUAGACUUCGGUCUGCGAGUAAAGUGGCGCACGGGUGAGUAACACGUGAAUAAUCUACCUCCGAGUGGGGAAUAACUUCGGGAAACCGAGGCUAAUACCGCAUAACACUUACGAGUCAAAGCAGCAAUGCGCUUGGAGAGGAGUUCGCGGCAGAUUAGUUAGUUGGCGGGGUAAUGGCCCACCAAGACGAUGAUCUGUA
rnacentral:rRNA from 1 species